rnacentral:tRNA from 1 species
UUUAAAGUGGCAGAAAAAUUAUAUGCGAGGAAUUUAAGCUUCCUUUAUGAGUAGUUUCCUUUAAAA